rnacentral:rRNA from 1 species
GGGAAGUAUUGGACAAUGGGCGGCAAGCCUGAUCCAGCCAUGCCGCGUGAGUGACGAAGGCCUUAGGGUUGUAAAGCUCUUUUGGCGGGGAAGAUAAUGACGGUACCCGCAGAAUAAGCUCCGGCUAACUUCGUGCC